CCUACGGGGGGCAGCAGUGGGGAAUAUUGCACAAUGGGGGAAACCCUGAUGCAGCGACGCCGCGUGAGCGAAGAAGUAUUUCGGUAUGUAAAGCUCUAUCAGCAGGGAAGAAAAUGACGGUACCUGACUAAGAAGCCCCGGCUAAAUACGUGCCAGCAGCCGCGGUAAUACGUAUGGGGCAAGCGUUAUCCGGAUUUACUGGGUGUAAAGGGAGCGCAGGCGGCUUGGCAAGUCUGAUGUGAAAGGCUGGGGCUCAACCCCAGGACUGCAUUGGAAACUGUUAGGCUGGAGUGUCGGAGAGGUAAGCGGAAUUCCUAGUGUAGCGGUGAAAUGCGUAGAUAUUAGGAGGAAUACCGUUAGCGAAGGCGGCAAUCUGGCUGGAAACUGACGCUGAGGUGCGAAAGCGUGGGUAGCAAACAGGAUUAGAUACCCUUGUAGUC
rnacentral:rRNA from 1 species